UGUGUCAAUGGAUUAGUUCGAUCCAAAACUUGAGAUAACGGGUGUAAACCGAAAAAGGAUUCAUAAGUAGUUGUUAAUGGAGUUGAGGUUACCAAAUUCUGAGGUGUCGGUAUCAAUUUAUGCCGAAUUGCUCCACAUUCUUUUAACGGGAACUAUGAUAUAAUAAAGGGAAUAAAUGUGUGUAUACAACAAACUGCGCCAUCGAAUUCGCUAAUUCUAGACUUCUCUUUGGAUAGUUGGGUUUAAGAGUCUAGUGCGUUAGGGAAAUGCUUUUGAGAUAAGGCCAAUUAGAAACAAAUUUAUGUGCCUCAGAUAACGUUUUCCAACACCAAAACCAGCCAAGUAUAUGUAGGAUGGAUAUCUCGUAUUCGAAAAUUAGCAUUGCGUCCUGUUAGCCUCUAGGACCUAAAUAACUUAAUUUUCUUCUAUGAAUUAUUUGUGUCACUGGAUUAGUUCGAUCCAAAACUUGAGAUAAUGAUGUAUACCGAAAAAGGAUUCAUAAGUAGUUGUUACUGGAGUUGAAGUUACCAAAUUCUGAGGUAUCGAUAUCAAUUUAUGCCGAAUUGCUCCACAUAUAGUCCCCGAACCACAUUUUCUAAACGAACCAGAGCCAAUCCGAAUUGAUCUUGUAAAAGAUCUGCUACAGAAUGAAUACAUUUAUUUUU
rnacentral:lncRNA from 1 species